rnacentral:rRNA from 1 species
AGCGAACGCUGGCGGCAGGCUUAACACAUGCAAGUCGAGCGGGCAUCUUCGGAUGUCAGCGGCAGACGGGUGAGUAACACGUGGGAACGUACCCUUCGGUUCGGAACAACUCUGGGAAACUGGAGCUAAUACCGGAUACGCCCUUAUGGGGAAAGGUUUACUGCCGAAGGAUCGGCCCGCGUCUGAUUAGCUAGUUGGUGGGGUAACGGCCUACCAAGGAGACGAUCAGUAGCUGGUCUGAUAGGAUGAUUAGCCACACUGGGACUGAGACACGGCCCAGCCUCGUACGGGAGGCAGCAGUGGGGAAUAUUGGACAAUGGGCGCAAGCCUAAUCCAGCCAUGCCGCGUGAGUGAUGAAGGCCUUAGGGUUGUAAAGCUCUUUUGUCCGGGACGAUAAUGACGGUACCGGAAGAAUAAGCCCCGGCUAACUUCGUG